rnacentral:lncRNA from 1 species
AUGACUAAUUUUAAUAAAUUGACUAAAUUGAAUCAAGGCUUGAAACAAAUUAACAAUUGAUUCAAUCUCGAAUUUCUUCGUUUAAUAAAAUCAAAUAUAUAUUUAUUCAAAUAAAUUAUUUUUGAGAAAAAAAUAUAAUUAAAUUAAGAUUUUAAUUAUUUGAAUUAUUUUUCAAGGAAAUAUUUAAAUAAUAAAAUUAUAUGAUUUCGUAUAAUUGAAUAUGAAAAAAUAUAUAAUUGCUAUUUAGAAUGACUAAAAUAUAAUAAAUAUUUUGAAAUAUUUUUAUCCAGAUAAAAUAAGUAUACUAAUUUUAUUAUAACAGAAGAAACUCAUGAAAAAAUUACGUGAGGGAGGACAAAACUAAGUGUCAAACAACUUGGAUGGAAAUUGACGUUACAUACCAACAACAUUCAAACAUUAACAUCAAGUCUCUAAAUAGAACCUACUGACUAUUUUCAAAUUCUGCUCUUACGAUCUGAUUAAGGAAAUAAACGAUUUGCUUCAACUGUUAAAAAGUUUCUUGCAGAUAAAUCUAUUCAAUUCUCAAAUCUUAUCAUAACAAUAAAAUCAAACAAGACCAAAAUCCACCAUAGCCACAAGAUAAGAAAGAAAAAAGAUGAAGCAGAAGCAAUUGAAGAACAAAAAUAAAAGUGGACGAGCUGCAUAUUUUUCUUGGGGUAGCAAAUCGAGAUUCCGAGCCUUUGUUGAAAUCACCAUCAGUAAAUAAAAUUGAUUCCUUAGCCUUGAUCCUAAGCUACUAAGAGUCUUAUAAGAAUCUUAGCCUAGAAAUCCAUUUGUUGGGGAUUAGGCUUCAUUUGGGAUUUUUGUUGGUUGCGAGUAGCUGAUGUUCUUGUCGUCAUUUUUUUGUUAAUGUUGGUCGAUAUUGUUCUUGUGGUUGUAAGCUAUUAUUAAGGAGAAAGGAUUUGACGGUGACUUGGGCCUAGAAUCUUGGUGAGUUGGAGUUAAAAGGAAUGGGCAGGUGGAUUUAACGGAUAAAUUACACAAAU